rnacentral:lncRNA from 1 species
GGUCAAGAAUAAGUUAGCUGGUUGGAAGGCUAUAAUACUCUUUCUAAGGUGAGCGUGGUUACUCUCAUUAAAUCAAAUCUUUUUGGCAUACCUAAUUAUAUUAUGCCUUACUUUAAAUGUCCUACUAGUCUUCAUAGAAGCCUAAACGAGGAGUGCAUGGAUUUUUUCUAGGGUAGUGACACUAAUAUGAAUAGCUUGGAAUAAGGUUUGUUCACCUAAGGCUACAAGGGGUUUGGGUAUUUGUAGAUUGGAUCAUAUUAAUAAGGGAGUUUUAACAAAACACUUUUGGUACUGUUCAUUUUUAACGAA